CCCUAUCUCCUGAUUCCUCUCUCACCCGAGCUCCAUUGCCAUCAUCCUGCCGUCGCCACCUCCCAUUAGGCCUUGCUCCGCCCCCUCCCCCCCUGAGAAUCCUCCGAUGCUCGGCCACCGCGACGGCCUCUGCGCCCCUGCACGUGUCCUUGCAGCACCGGCGCUGUUCGUGCUCCUCCGGUUUGUCGGCUCACCAACAGCCGUGUCUCCGCGUGCGGCCUUCUCCAGGGGCUCGACGGUGCCGCCCCGCCUCGUCUAUCUCGACUCCAACAUUGAUGUUUCAGUGAGGCACUCCUCCCCUCUGCUAUUACCCUCUCUGAUCCUUUGUGGCGUGGCUUUUUUUUUUGCGGAAACUUUGUGGCGUGGCUACUAGGGCUUGUAGUCGUGGCAUCGUAGAUCGCGGCUGUAUACAGCAUCAACUGCGGGCACUCUCUCCUAUGGAGGCUUCCAUGGUCGCAUGUGUCAUACCAACCACUCACCUAGAUUCAUAUCCGUCAAGAACGUGUAUUUCUCACCUCAAAAAAAAAGAACGUGUAUUUCUCUUAUCCCCAAUAAUGAGUUCUGCCUAAUUUAACGAAAUGGUGGCCUCUAUAAUUACAUUGGGAUUUGGUGCUCCAGCUUCUCUGAACUUCGACUUGUGACAUGGGUGGAACAAUUAGGUACGAGAUUUGUCAACAUGUUUGUCCACUUCCACUUCAAUUGGUCAACGAAUAUUUAUACUACUGUACUUAAGUUAUGAUGGUGACCCACUCUUUUUGUUGGAGGAAACCUGAUCCUAUUGUUGUGAAUGUUUUUGCUGGUGAUCAUCUACUUUAGUUGUGCAGACCAUAAUGGUGUUUUCACAUAUACUAUCCGUAUAUAUUUGCGUAAAUGUCUACCGUACUCUGGAGUGCUAGAUUAUACUCCAAAACAAAAUAACUAUUUGCCUCGGAUGACUAUUCAACAGUCUUGUUGGGAUAUCAUCAAUGCUUGCAUCUUCCGUGGCUUAUAAGGAGAGAAUCUAGUUCUAUGUGGAAACAGGGGUUAUUGAUUAAUUAAUUAAUUAAUUAUUCACUUCUUUUACAAAAACAUUCGUUGUCAAGGAGGCAACAGGAAUAUAUUAGGCAUGAGUAUACAAAACAACACAUUAAGAAGGUAUAUAAAUCAUAGUCUAGACAUCUCACACUUGCCAGCAUGCGAAAGUAUGUAGGUACAUUUGAUUCAUUUGAACUAUUUUGUUUAACUUUAGGUACUUCUAAGUACUGAAACCUUUGUAUUUAUUUGCAUGUUAUGAUGAAUUGCAAUCUUUUGUAGAUCAGAAGGAUGCAUCACAACAAGAAUGCUUCGCGAGAUGCCACACUAAAUCUUUAAUUCUCAGUAGUAUUUGAAUUAGACGUCGUUACUUCGUGAACAUGAUCUUGCAGGUUUACAGGAAAUAUUAAAGAAUACAAAGCUACUUGAGAUAAUCAGAUUGGAAAUUUGCAUGAGUGCUGCAACCUGGGAAGAUAAAUAGGACCAGUGAUGAUGGCAGCACAUCAAUGACAUCAUGUAGGUGUGGUGUUCAUCCAUCCCUUAUCUCUUUGUGUGUGUGUGCGCUGGCGUGUGUAUAUGUAUCCCAUCUUCAUAUGCCAUGCUAAUUGUUCAUUUAGAUCGAUCUCUCUCCCAACACGUUUAUCCCAUGUAUUUGGUAUCAUCUUAUAAACGAUUGAUUAGUCACGUCCAACUCUUCCUAGAUUAUUUCAAGUGUGAUGUCUCUGAAGAAAAAUAAUGUCACUGGAGGUAACGUCGUAUUGUAAUUUGCGUAAGUGUUAGUUCGUGUUUGCACUAGUAAUCUGUUUUCUUUCUGAAGGAUCUUAACUAUUGAUGCAGACGAUUGUAGGUUAAUUAAUUGUAACAACAGCUCUAUGCCUCUGCCUAUUCUUACGCUCUGACUUUUGAAGUACAAACCGAUGAAAAGAAAGAUGAAGAUUGUGCAAUUUAUUUUAGCUAGAACUGGCAGGAACUAUCUUCAGGAUGUGGAGUUAUGGAUGCGAAGAGAAACUGUUUAUUCUUGGUUUUAGUGAAUGAAGGUUGAACAUAUUAGUCUAGAUGCUCAUGUGAUGAGCUUAGCUUUUUGUUUUCUGCAAUGAUGCUUCGAUUUGUUUCUUUGUACAGUGCACAUGUUCUUGUUAAAAACAUGUGUACAAGUUGAAGGUAGAAUUUGUAAUCAUCAGUUCAUUCUGAUGGGCAAUACUUAGAACAAAGCACAUAAAUAUAGAUAUCAUGUAUUCUU